AAAUGCGAAAAGUAAUGCGAAUUGCAGAAUUCAGCGAGUCAUCGAGUUUUUGAACGCACAUUGCGCCCCUUGGUAUUCCAUGGGGCAUGCCUGUUCGAGCGUCAUUUGUACCCUCAAGCUCUGCUUGGUGUUGGGUGUUUGUCCCGUCUCCGCGCGUGGACUCGCCCCAAAGUGAUUGGCAGCCGGCGUACUGGUCCCGGAGCGCAGCACAUGUCGCGCAAACGAGUGCCUUGGUACGGCGGCGUCCAUAAGCCCCUCUCUCACGCUCUUGACCUCGGAUCAGGUAGGGAUACCCGCUGAACUUAAGC
rnacentral:misc_RNA from 1 species